CUUUGCGUUCUGCCAUGAUCAUAAAUUUCCUGAGGCCUCCCCAGCCAUGCCUCCUGUACAUCCUGUGGAACUUGCUGUGGGCGGGCAACAUGUCCUGUCCCUUGGCAGAAAACAGAUGGUUCCCCCAUAUGACUUGCUUCGGGCAAUGGGAUGUCGGCAGACGUGACGCUGCUGUGACGCACUUGGGCUGGCUCUUGCAUCUUACCACUGCUGUGAGAACAUGGCUGGACAGCCUUCUGAAGGAUGAGAGGCACACGGAGCAGAGCCAAGUUUCUCCCGUCACCCCAUCCAAAUUCAACUACAUCAGCCAAGGUCAGCCAACAUCAGCCAGCAAUGAUGGAACCCCCCAGACAUAAGCUCUUUCCUUAACCACACACGGGGUGGAAAGAACGCCUUGUCCAGAAGCCGAAGGACACUGAGGCUCUAAACUCCUGCUGUGUGGGCUGCAGCAGGCCACUGCUCUUCUCUGACCCUCAGUUUCUUCAUCUGUAAAACUGGAACAUGAUGCCCCACUGGAAGGCUAUCGUGAGGGCUGGACACGGCGAUGUAAAUUGAGGGCCAAGCGUGGAGCCGGCAUAGAGUGGACACUAAAAUACACCAGGCUGUUUCAUUUGGCAAAAGGGGUUCAAUUCUGUCUUUUAAACUCAUGCACUUUGGCAUAUUUGGCUUCUAAAUAUGCAGUGAGGCAGGAAGAGCAAUGAGUCUGGAAGCCAGAGAUUCUCGUGCAUCCAUUCUCUCCUCUGUCUCAGCUUUGCAUUGUACCUUGGGUGAGCCAUUGCACCUCCCUGACCCUCUGUGUCUUCAUCUACCAGACAGAAAAAAUUACACUUACUCCUAAACCAUAAUGUUUGGCAAGACCCAGUGAACCUCACAAAGCACCCCCAAAAGGCAGGCAGGAUGAGGAGUUCUCCCUGUUGAGCUGUGUGAGCUGCCCAGAUUGAUAUGCCUAGAAGGCACCCCAUUUGGAAGUAAACACAGGCUCCAUUUAAGGAUGCACGGAAGGUUGGAACACUUUAUUCCUGAACACAUUUAUGUAAAAUUAAUUGCAUCACCUGUUCUCUGCAUCUUCUAAUUGCAAAACCAAUUAACUUUAAAAUGCUCAGCACAGUGUGGCCAAGGGAAGGGAAGGCAAAGACCAGGCUGGCUUUGCAAACUCUGUGCCAUUUGUAGUGGCCACAGUGGCCCUAGGAAGUCCCAGCCAUUCCCAUCUGCUGGCCGAGGAGGCCCUGUGGGAUGCUGGGAGACUCUAGGAGAUGAGCAAGACCCUCAGAGUCUGGGGCUGGAAACUUCCUAGCACAAGUGAGCUGAGUGGUCAUGGGCCAGGUGAUGGAGUGGACAUUCCCCAGUGGUGGCCAGAAUGACCCAAUAUCAACUGCCCCUCCACCCAGCACCCCCAUUCCCUUUACCCUGUAUUUUGUUCCCCUCUGCCAUUUUCACUGCCCGACUGGCUGUGUAGCUAUUUGUUUAUCAUGUUUCUCCUCAGUAAAAUGUUGACUCCACAAAGACAUGUCUAUUGCACCUCCUGCUGUGUGCCUGGGACCUAGAACAGUGCCUGGCACAUAGUAGGUGCUCAGACAAAUGAAUGAAUGAAUGAAUGAAUGAAUGAAUGAAUGAAUGAAUGAACUAAUGGACUUCAGCUCAUUGUGAGAUGGGA
rnacentral:lncRNA from 10 species